CCUACGGGUGGCAGCAGUGAGGAAUAUUGGUCAAUGGGCUUACGCCUGAACCAGCCAAGUCGCGUGAGGGAAGACUGCCCUAUGGGUUGUAAACCUCUUUUGUCAGGGAGCAAGUGGCGCUACGUGUAGCGUUAUCGAGAGGACCUGAAGAAAAAGCAGCGGCGAACUCCGUGCCAGCAGCCGCGGUAAUACGGAGGAUGCGAGCGUUAUCCGGAUUGAUUGGGUGUAAAGGGUGCGUCGGCGGAAUGCCAAGUCAGCGGUAAAAUCGCGGGGCUCAACCUCGCUCCGCCGUUGAAACUGGCGUUCUUGAGUGGGCGAGACGUCUGCGGUAUGCGUGGUGUAGCGG
rnacentral:rRNA from 1 species